CUAGCCUACGGGACGCAGCAGUGGGGAAUAUUGCACAAUGGGGGAAACCCUGAUGCAGCAACGCCGCGUGAGUGAAGAAGGUUUUCGGAUUGUAAAGCUCUGUUAGCAGGGAAGAGGAAGGACGGUACCUGACUAAGAAGCCCCGGCUAACUACGUGCCAGCAGCCGCGGUAAUACGUAGGGGGCAAGCGUUAUCCGGAUUUACUGGGUGUAAAGGGAGCGUAGACGGCAGCGCAAGUCUGGAGUGAAAUGCCGGGGCUCAACCCCGGAACUGCUUUGGAAACUGUGCAGCUAGAGUGCGGGAGA
rnacentral:rRNA from 1 species